rnacentral:lncRNA from 1 species
AAGAAGCUAGCACAGCUCCACACACCAUGGCAGCCAUGGCCACCACCGCCUCCAGCCUCCUCAAGCCCUCCUUCUCCGGCGUCCGCCUCCCGGCGGCGGCCCGCACCCCGUCCUGCGUCGCCACCCCGCGUGCCGGCGCCAUCUGCAACUCCAUCUCCUCCUCCACACCUCCCUACGACCUCAACGCCUUCAAGUUCAGCCCCAUCAAGGAGUCCAUCGUGUCCCGCGAGAUGACCCGCCGCUACAUGACCGACAUGAUCACCUACGCCGACACCGACGUCGUCAUCGUCGGCGCCGGAUCCGCGGGGCUUUCCUGCGCGUACGAGCUCUCCAAGGACCCCUCCAUCAGCAUCGCCAUCAUCGAGCAGUCCGUGUCCCCCGGCGGCGGCGCCUGGCUCGGCGGCCAGCUCUUCUCCGCCAUGGUCGUGCGCAAGCCGGCGCACCUCUUCCUCGACGAGCUCAACAUCGAGUACGACGAGCAGGAGGACUACGUCGUCAUCAAGCACGCCGCGCUCUUCACCUCCACGGUCAUGAGCCGCCUCCUCGCGCGCCCCAACGUCAAGCUCUUCAACGCCGUCGCCGUGGAGGACCUCAUCGUCAAGGAGGACCGCGUCGCCGGCGUCGUCACCAACUGGGCGCUCGUCUCCAUGAACCACGACACACAGUCCUGCAUGGAC